AAGUGAAGAGUUUAAGUCCAGUUGGUGGCGGUAAUACACCAUAAGUUGGCUUGUCAACCGUCAUUAAAUCGUAC